CUGAACUUAAGCAUAUCAAUAAGC
rnacentral:ncRNA from 4 species